ACACCAACGCAUCCAUUCAUUCAUUUUCAUUCAUUAUACCCAAACUCAUUUAGAGAGAGAGAGAGAGAGGGAGUUUUAAGAAGCGCUUUCACAUCUCUCUUCUCCAUUUCCUUCCACUAUAUACCUCUCCAUCCCCAAAUUAAACCCUAACGCGCGAAUCCCCAAAUUAAUUCCCACCAUUUAAUUCCCGUCGGUUUCCAUUUCCAAGCCCUAGAUCCGAUUAGGCGAUCGAUCGAGCAACCGAUGCAGAGGAUGGGCACCGACGACGGGCGAAUCGGCGGCGGCGGCGGCGGCGCUGGGGAGGCGGAGAUCGUCGGCGUCGGCGGCGACCACCGCGUGCCCUUCAGCGGCCCCCUCAGCAAGCGCGGCGGGAGCGGCAGCAGCAGCCGCAAGAGCGCGCGCUUCAGCAUCUCCUCCCCCGCCCCCUCCUCCUCCUCGGCCGCCGGGGCCGGGGACGACGACGACGAGGCCUACGUCGAGAUCACCCUCGACGUGCGCGACGACUCGGUGGCGGUGCACAGCGUGAAGAGCCUCAAGUUCAUCUCCAAGACCGACGGCGCCGCCGGCUGGGCCGCCGUCGAGAAGCGCUUCGACGACCUCGCCGUCGACGGCGCCCUCCACCGCUCCCGCUUCGGCCAAUGCAUCGGUACUCAAUUUNCCGCAAGAGCGCGCGCUUCAGCAUCUCCUCCCCCGCCCCCUCCUCCUCCUCGGCCGCCGGGGCCGGGGACGACGACGACGAGGCCUACGUCGAGACCGGCCCCAUCGACCGAUCCAAAUCCGCGGCGGCGCACGCUCUCAAGAGCCUCAAGUUCAUCUCCAAGACCGACGGCGCCGCCGGCUGGGCCGCCGUCGAGAAGCGCUUCGACGACCUCGCCGUCGACGGCGCCCUCCACCGCUCCCGCUUCGGCCAAUGCAUCGG
rnacentral:lncRNA from 1 species